CAGUGGAGGGAGGUUCCUCCCAGAUAGUUGUUGAUACGUCUGGCAACUGACGAGCGACAUUGCCGUGUAACCGGUCGGGCUGCAGCCUCGUGACAAAGGCCGCCCUAGACGGUUGAGCGAUCCAGUAGGCCUGAAGUCCAA
rfam:Gluconobacter oxydans H24, complete genome.